rnacentral:rRNA from 1 species
UACGGAGGGUGCGAGCGUUGUCCGGAAUCACUGGGCGUAAAGGGCGCGUAGGCGGCGCGGGAAGUCCGUGGUGAAAGCCCGAGGCUCAACUUCGGGUCGGCCAUGGAUACUCCUGGGCUCGAGCACUGUAGAGGCAGGUGGAAUUCCGGGUGUAGCGGUGGAAUGCGUAGAGAUCCGGAAGAACACCGGUGGCGAAGGCGGCCUGCUGGGCAGUGACCGUAAGGUCUUAAAAGCUGACGCUGAGGCGCGACAGCGUGGGGAGGCAAACAGG